CUUGGGGGCACCAAGAAGUGGCUUGAAAAUUCCCGGCUCAGAAACAUCUGCCAAGUGGCAGCAUUCACACCACACUUGCCGUCAACGUCCUCGCUCCUCCUCCGCAGCUUCAGCCGGGCCAAGCGAGGAAAUCAAAAAUCAGAUGACUAGUCUUCACUUUGUGCAAAAAAGGAAUCCUGAUGGUAGAGCAGGUUACAUGGG